AGUGAACGCUGGCGGCAGGCCUAACACAUGCAAGUCGAACGGCAGCACAGUAAGAGCUUGCUCUCACGGGCGGCGAGUGGCGGAAGGGUGAGGAAUACACCGGAAUAUACUUUUUCGUGGGGGAUAACGUAGGGAAACUUACGCUAAUACCGCAUAUGACCUACGGGUGAAAGCAGGGGAUCUUUGGACCUUGCGCGAUUGAAUGAGCCGAUGUCGGAUUAGCUAGUUGGCGGGGUAAAGGCCCACCAAGGCGACGAUCCGUAGCUGGUCUGAGAGGAUGAGCAGCCACGCUGGAACGGGAACACGGUCCAGACUCCUGGGAGAGGGAGCAGGGGGGAAUAUUUGACGAUGGGCGCAAGCCUGAACCUUCCAUACCGCGUGAGUGAAUAAUGCCGUCAGGUUGUAUGGCCCUUUUGUUGGGAAAGAUAGGAAGCAGGUUUAUACCCCGCUGUUCAUGCGAUACCCGAAGAAAAAACACCCGCUAACUUCGGGC
rnacentral:rRNA from 1 species